GACGAACGCUGGCGGCGUGCUUAACACAUGCAAGUCGAACGGAAAGGCCCUGCUUUUGUGGGGUGCUCGAGUGGCGAACGGGUGAGUAACACGUGAGUAACCUGCCCUUGACUUUGGGAUAACUUCAGGAAACUGGGGCUAAUACCGGAUAGGAGCUCCUGCUGCAUGGUGGGGGUUGGAAAGUUUCGGCGGUUGGGGAUGGACUCGCGGCUUAUCAGCUUGUUGGUGGGGUAGUGGCUUGCCAAGGCUUUGACGGGUAGCCGGCCUGAGAGGGUGACCGGCCACAUUGGGACUGAGAUACGGCCCAGACUCCUACGGGAGGCAGCAGUGGGGAAUAUUGCACAAUGGGCGGAAGCCUGAUGCAGCAACGCCGCGUGCGGGAUGACGGCCUUCGGGUUGUAAACCACUUUCGCCUGUGACGAAGCGUGAGUGACGGUAAUGGGUAAAGAAGCACCGGCUAACUACGUG
rnacentral:rRNA from 1 species